rnacentral:rRNA from 1 species
CCUACGGGGGGCUGCAGUGGGGAAUUUUCCGCAAUGGGCGAAAGCCUGACGGAGCAACGCCGCGUGAGGGAUGAAGGCCUCUGGGCUGUAAACCUCUUUUAUCAAGGAAGAAGAUCUGACGGUACUUGAUGAAUAAGCCACGGCUAAUUCCGUGCCAGCAGCCGCGGUAAUACGGGAGUGGCAAGCGUUAUCCGGAAUUAUUGGGCGUAAAGCGUCCGCAGGCGGCCCUUCAAGUCUGCUGUUAAAAAGUGGAGCUUAACUCCAUCAUGGCAGUGGAAACUGUUGGGCUUGAGUGUGGUAGGGGCAGAGGGAAUUCCCGGUGUAGCGGUGAAAUGCGUAGAUAUCGGGAAGAACACCAGUGGCGAAGGCGCUCUGCUGGGCCAUCACUGACGCUCAUGGACGAAAGCCAGGGGAGCGAAAGGGAUUAGAUACCCUGGUAGUC